rnacentral:lncRNA from 1 species
GAGGAUGGAGUUUCUCUGUAGUUUCAGCAAAUGGUCGGUCAAAAUCAUUGAAGGGGCAGCUCAUAGGGCUUAUCAAUGCCACCCAGUACCUCAGAGUGCCGCUAAUAGUUCUCAAUGUUAUCAUCAUAGUAGUGAAGUUGGUUUCGGGCUGACUUUUAAGCGGUAUGCUGCCAUUUUUUUUCAACUUAUGAUUCUUUCUGUUGGUCAUAUGCAUGGGGUAAAUGCAUCAACAUGUUUUGUGGUAUAUAUUUAGACCCUUCUCCAUAGCACCACUUUUCUUAUUGUUCCAUUUUUUUAUAUAAUUUAAAUUGGCAUGUGAAGCUGCUCUGAAGGACCAUUAUGUAGCUUGAUAGAUAAGUGAAUGUACAUUUUUUUUUCUUAAGAGAACAAAGGUGGUUCUUGGAAGGGAGAAAGUUCUUGCAAGUAAAACGAAUUUUGUUUUGCAGGUUGUAAAUGGGACUAAAAAGAAGGGAAAUCUUGGAGGUAGCAGAUGCGAGCGAAGAAGGGAAGAAACAAAGAAUUUUCCAACUCAGGCAUGGAGAUAAAGGAAAGCUGAUCAGGACACUCAGGCUUAAGCUCUUAUGCGGUUCAAGCGCGUCUCCCAAAAUUGGCGCGAUUUAUAUCAAUUAAUCCCUAUUUCAUCCAUCUUCAGUCUCAGCAUUGCCAGUGCUUCUCCCAGCAUUGUGUUGGAUAUGUUUCAGAACGAUAUGUGGGAAAUCCAGUGACAAGGAUCGAAGAGCAAUUCCACCAUCCGGGCAUGGACAUUGGCCUUGGAUUAGGUAUGGAUGUGGGGGAGUUUGAUCUAAGUUACUGGAGUUGCUAUUUUUUUUUAAUUUUAAUCCAGAUAUAUGGUGAGUUAGGUACUAGGAGACUAGGAGAGACCAUAUUUGGGUGGGAUCCGGUCAUGGCCGUGGAGUCGGAAUUGGAUCGGCCGUGGAU